rnacentral:misc_RNA from 1 species
AAUUAUCAACCUUGCUCGCUUUUACCGGCUUGAGCUGAGGCUUGGACGUGGGGGUUUUUGCUGGCUUCCUUCAGUGGAUGGUCUGCUCCCCUUAAAUUCAUUAGCGGGAUCUCUUGUGGACCGUCACUUGGUGUGAUAAUUAUCUAUGCCGUUUGACCUUGAAGCAAGUUUAUGGGACCCUGCUUAUAACCGUCUCUUACCGGGACAAUUUAAUAACA